GGGCUCGUAGCUCAGCUAGGCAGAGCACCUGGCUUUUAAAGUGGAUGGUAUUUCCACAUUCACUUGAAGAUACCAGAUGGUCGUGGGUUCAAAUCCCUCCGAGCCCG
rnacentral:tRNA from 1 species